rnacentral:miRNA from 1 species
UUCUUGCUGGAGUCCGGUUGUCU